UCAAUCAAAAUUUGAUAAAGAGAUGAUGCAUAUUUAUAAAUACUGCAUUGGGCUCGAUUGAUUUUAUUUUAUUUAAUAUAACUGAUUGCUCGAAAUAAGUAAUAAUCUUAAGCUUAAAUAUUUUCAUUAAACAAAAAGUUAUCUAUUUAAUAAUAAUUAAUAAUGAAAUAUUUAUUAUUUUUAAUAGCAUUGUUUUCAAUUAAUGAUUCAGGAGAGUCACUUAAAUGUUGGUUUUGUACACCCACUGUUAAACCUCAGUGUGACAAUACCUUUCUAGAAAGUAAUCUUACAAUCCGAGAAUGUAAUUACAAUAAUUCGUUACCGGCUUGCAGAACAAUGACUUCCCUACUUUCAAAUGGUGAGUUGCGUGUGCUGUUGCGUGACUGUAAUAGAAAAAUUACAUACAGAAGCGAGCUCAUGGCACAAGAAGCAAGUAAAACCGAAGAUGUGUAUGUCGUUGAAUCACGUACAUACUAUUGUGAUACUGAUUUAUGCAACAGCGCGACAUCAGUUUAUUUUCAUCUUGAAGUCACGUUUGUCGUUAUAAUUUCAUUUUUAUGUUUAGUCUAAAAUUAUUGUCAAUCAUUGAGUACCAGGGAUGUGCGAAUGGUAUUCGAAUUUAAAAAAAAAAGCCAUUCGGCAUCCGAAAUGGAAGUAGAUUUCUAUAUAUAUAUAAUUUUAUAAUCACCCAUCAAAAAUUAUCAAAGAUAUAAACAAUGGCAUUAUCACCAUAACACAUGAGUCAAUAAUGUGACUUUGAACCCUUAUUAAAAGUGGAACAAUUAUUGUAAAACGAAAAAUAAAAAAAGGAAAACAUAGCUUUUCCUAUCGGCUAUCAAGUUCUUUCUACAUAAUAAGGAUAGAUAUACCCAUUAAAAAGUUUACCCAUUUACGAAAAAAGCCGAAAAAGUUGGAUUUUUCGUUAUUUUUGGAAUUUCAAAUGUCCGGAAUUUCUAAACUAGUUGACCGAUUUUGCUCAUCUUCGAACUUAACCGUAAUAAUUGUUCAUAGAAUAAGUGUGCCAAGUUUCAUUAAGAUCCAUUAAAAAUUGUGGCCGCUAUCAUCGCAACAUGGCGCGUUAUAUUACAUAUAUAUACAUUACAUUACAUACAUAUAUAAACUUUUGAACCAAUGGUAUUUUUGGAAUCGACUCGAUGAAUUGUGAUACUCUCUUAAAGUGAACCAGUGAAAUUCCACUGAUUCAACCAGUGAAAUUCACUGGUUUAACCAGUGAUUAAAAGUUCACUGGUUGAAUCAGUGAACGUCGCGCUCACUGGUUUCAACCAGUGAACUAAAAAUAUGUAAGCGCGCGGGUACAGCAGUAUUCUGUACAUGAGUAGUUUAAGUGUUUUAUUGUGUCAAUAAGUAAGUAAUAUUUAUUGAUUAUCUUCAUGUAAUAUUUCAAUUAACUUUUAUAUAAUAAUAAUAAUAAUUAUAUGACACAAUUUUUACAGAGUUUAAAAAAAAAUAACUUUGGAGUAAUUUCAAUAGCUUGGAGCUAACCUCAAAAAUUAAUGACAUAAUUUUAAAUUUAAACAAUAUAAAAAGCCCAUUGAAAAUGGAAACAAAUUAAAUUUUUAUAAAUCCUAAUAAAUAUUAUGUAUUUUAUUACAAAAUAAUUUUUAAUUAAAUAUAAUUGUUAAUAAGACUCUUUUAGUUCACUUUGUUUUUAAAUAAACGUUUAUAAUAAAAUAAAAUUAAUCUAACCUAUUGUGUUUAUAUUUAUGUAGUACACCGGCGUAUCACUGGUUCAACCAGUGAGCCAAGCGAUCAUCUUAGUCCACUGGUUGGAUCAGUGAUUUUCACUGGUUGAACCAGUGACCGCUCGAUUCACUGGUUGAACCAGUAGAUUUCACUGGUGAAUCAGUGAAAUUUCACUGGAUCAUUUUAAGAGAGUAGAUUACGGCAAAAUUCUUUGAAAAUUACACCAUGAGGACAAAUGCAAAAGAUAGAUUCUUAUAAAAUCUAAUAAAAAGAAAUCGUUUUUAUUAAAAAUUUUACUCUCUAAAAAUGAAUUAGUGAAAUUCGCUGCGAAUCCGUGGAUAGUCAUUAUUUCUCCUGCUAUAAAAGUAUACCGCUAAUUUAACCAGUGGUAGUUUUAGCUCAUUUCCAGAUCAUAAUCACUAAUUUGCAGUGAAUUUCACUGGUUCAAUUUUAAAGAGUAAAGUAUCCAGAUUCUCUAGCCUGAUCAACUUGCCCAAUUUUUUUACGUGAUCCGUAAACUGUUAAAAAUUUUUGGACUCGAUGUAGUGUAAAUGACGGUGUAAAAUUUUCGGGUAAAAAUUACACCAUUUAUUUUUCGUUUUUGAAAUGAUGUCUGACUUUACUUCGGCCUCCUUGGUAUUGUAAACAGAGAACAAUGAACGGAAUUUAAUUUAAUACCAUUAUUGAAAUUAUUACAAAAUAUCAAAAUAUUACCUAUUAUAUAACAUAAAAUAUAUGACCAUGUACUCGUACAUAAUUUGAAUUAAAUUUUAAUUUAACCAAAGCUAGGUCUAUAUGCUUUGUUGUUAUUUAAAAGACUCGAGAACAAAGCGAAUUAAUAAUUUAAAAAAAUAAUUGAAUUAUUCACACUCAGCAUUGAUGCGUGUAUCAAAAAGCGGGGUAACAGUAAUUUUAAUUAUGUUUUAUGAGUUUAGUAGCCAAUAUAUAUUGAUUUAUUUAAUUGAAUUGUUACAAAGGUAAAAGUAAAUAAUAACAUUCAGGAUAAGGGCAAACAAAAAAAAGUUAAUUAAAAUACCAUUGAUAUAAAUGAGGUAAAAAAUGAUAUUUUAUUAUUUCAAGCCAUGUUGAUUGUAGCUCUUUACAAUUUAUGCAUACACACAACAAUUAUCUCGUACAUCAAUUUUCAUCAAUAUUAUUAAUUUAUCAUAAAACGGGACUGAAUAUAUUUAAUAUUUCAACAUCCUCAUUUUAUUUAUUCAAAAAACAGUAAACAUGUAACGAACCUAUUUCAGUAAAUUUGUAACCGAUUUCAUUUAAUCGAUGCAAUAAAUUUUUUCAAUGUAUAACUAUGUACAUAUGUACACGAAAAAUUUUAAUUUUGUCAUUUAUUAUUAUCAUUAUAUUUUUUUUUCUUACGAAAUAAAAAUUUUUUUUAUUUCUAUAAAGGUUUCAAUUAUUGAUUCGAGUAUUUGUAACUUCUACUAUAUAAUCCCGUCAAACAAUAAAAAUAAAAAAAAACUAAUAUUCUAUUAAUAUGUUGAGUGAGAAAAAGUUGAAUUCGAGUAAUUUUUUUUUUAUUGUUUCCAUAAAUACUCAAAAUAGAUAAUUUUUUUAUAAAAUAAAAUUGAUAGACAUCAUUUCAAGAAAACUGUUGCUACACUUUAGUAAUAAAUUGUUAGAAGCAUGAAUUACAUAAGGCCAAGCAAAUGUUUCUUCAAUUUAGUUGAUACCUUCUCAAAUUUAUUACAAUUAAAAUCUUCAAUAAAGCAAUUAUUUGGUUAAAUAAAAAAAAGGAAUGAAAAAAAAAUAUAAUUAAUAAUUAGAAAAAAAUUAUUGCACUAAGAAAAAAAUUUGUUUUUAUAACAAAAUGAAAUUUCUCAUUGGCAUUGAUAAAAAUAUAAAAUAUGUUAAUUAUUUCGAGAGCUACUUCUAUAAACUAUUAAAUAUUAAAAUUUUAUUAAUUAGUUGUGUAAAUUAAUAUUUAAGAUGACAAACAUCGAUGAGUAACUUAAGAGUUUACUAAAAACAUGAUUUCUAAUAAGCCACCGUGGCUGAGCGCGCGUAGGUCAUAAGUCUCGCGCGAUCGGUCUGGGUUCGAAUCUUGGGUAGGGUAAAAUUAUUUAUUUAUAAAAAAAAUGUUUGUUAAGCUAUUAAACUAAUCUGAACACCAUUAGAUAAAAAAAUUCAUGUCUAAUAAUAUUUUUUUGACCAAAUAAAUUUUUUCUUAGUAUUAAGCAAGUAAAUAAAAUACUUGACUAAAGUCAUUAUUUUACUCCAUUGAAGAAAGUAAUUUUUGGCACUAUAGUUAAGUAACUAAAAUACUUAAACCAACCAGUUUUUCUUUGAAGUUAUACAUAUUUAUUUCUUAGUGUAAACAACCCUGAUUGAGAAACCUAAUUUGAAAUAAUUCAAACACGAUCCGCAACAAUUCAAAGUUGGCAAAAUUGACUAUAUAUAGAUAUACACUAGGGUGGUCGUUAAAAAUUAAAUUUUCUCAGGCGCCCCAUAAAAAGCUUCUUUUUAGUGAAAAAAUACCCGGGGAAUUUGGUUUUUUCGUUUUAGGUAAAAAGAACACGUGCCUCAGGACGAUCAAAGUUCAUUUUUCGAUGCAAUCGCGGUUUUUUUUAAAUAUCUCAUGAAAUAUGCAGAUUAAAGGAAAAAAUCAGAGGAUCAAUUUUGUAGGAAAUUAAAUUCUUGACAAAAAAGGUCAUAUUCAUUUUUUUUAUAAAAUGUGUAUUUAUGAAGAUAUGUUCAAAAAACAUUUUUUAGAUCUGAUGAAUUGGGCGUUUUAAGGAGUACAAAUUUUGAAAAUAAAAUUUUUAUAAGUAUAUAGAAACUACAACAAGCAUUAAUGAUUGAUAUGUUACGAGUUACGAAGUUGUCUAUAUUUGAGGAAAAACGUCAUUUUUGACAUUCGUUAUCCUUAAAAUGCUCAAUUGAUAAGAUCUAAAAAAGUUUUUUCAAAAUAUCUUCAUAAAUACACAUUUUAUAAAAAAAAUGAAUGUAACCUUUUUUGUCAAGAAUUUAAUUUCCUACAAAAUUGUUCCUAUGAUUUUUUCCUUUAAUCUGCAUAUUUCAUGAGAUAUUUAAAAAAAACCGCGAUUGCAUCGAAAAAUAAACUUUGAUCGUCCUGCGGCACGUGUCCGUUCCAAAUGAAAUUUCUGAAUCAGGGAAAUAACAACAUUAAAUUCAUCUUAAAAAUAGAGCCUCAUGUAAUUCCGGAACUAUCAUAAAUAUGGUGCCUCAUUAUUCUCCCGCCAUCUUUAACAUAAUUGUCCCUAAUUAGAUAAAUUAUUACUCUCAUCCCAAUAUUAAUCAUCUUCAAUUAUAUUAAUGAAAUCUAAAAAUUAAAUUUUGUAAAAAUAAUUAACCAAACUUUUAGUAUUCAACAAAUUACUAAUCAUACGCUACUAAUAUUUCAGUGUGUAGGUGAGAACAAAUAUGUACAUAAACAAAUAUGUGCAUUAAAUUUUCUAAAUGACAUCAAAGGAUUCCAAAGAUUCUCAAUUUUUGUUAAAUUCCCGAUCGGAUUCAAAAAUGUUAAAUAUUUAUCUAAUUAAAUGCAAUGGAUUUUAUCAUUUCAAUUUAUAAAUACAAAAAUUCAUUGACAUUUCAUCUAACGAAUCACACUGGAAUACGCAGUACAAAAGCGUACAAAUAUUUGUUAUUUAAUCUUUCCCUUUGCUAAAACGCCGGAAAAGAAAAACAAAUAGCCAACCGCAAAUAAAAACAAUCGCCUAACUGUAAUAGUAAAUAAUAAAUAAAUUUCUAUAUAACCAACUUAGUAUUUGUCUUUGCUGAUGUCUCAAAAUAUUAUUUAUACCUAAAGAUUUACAAAUAUAACAUUAUCACAUAUUCAUUAUAUAUAAAAAAAAAAAAAAUUAAAUUUGAAGGCUAAAUAAUUGUGACAUAAAUGUGAUAAUUCAUCGAUGACUUGAUUAAUUAAUUGAUAAUUUUGAUAUCUAAAAAAUUUUGAGCAGUAGUUAAAAUAAAACUAAUGUCCAAUACAGAUAAUAUUUAGUGAUAAUUGAUAAUGAAUCACUUAUUUUUUUUAUGGAUUAUUUCGACAUCAAUAAUUACUGUAAAAGCUAUUAAAUGUUAUGAAUGUACUCAUUGUACGGAUAUUUCAAAAUCAAAGGACGUAAUCGAGAAAGACUGCCCUGAAUCAGCGAGUGGUUCAGCUUGUUUGAAGAUAUCUUACGUACUUUCAAAUUACACUACGGGAGUAAGAGCUCGUAGCUGUAGUGUAAAAUCUUUAGUGGGUGACGAAAGAGCCGUACCAAAAGCAGCUGAUGACGAUCAGGAAAAAAGUCGAGUAUAUGUACAAAUGCUUAAUAUGUAUUACUGUGACACAGAUUUUUGUAAUGGAUCGAAUUCGUUAUUCUCAACUUCGUUUAAUAAUAUCAUAAUUAUUGUAUCAUUAAUUUCUCUGA